UACGUAGGCGGCGAGCGUUGUCCGGAUUUACUGGGCGUAAAGGGCGUGCAGGCGGUUUGUUAAGUGCAGGGUGAAAGCUCCCGGCUCAACUGGGAGAGGUCCUUGCAUACUGGCGAACUCGAGGGAGGCAGAGGAAAGUGGAAUUCCCGGUGUAGUGGUGAUAUGCGUAGAUAUCGGGAGGAACACCAGUGGCGAAGGCGGCUUCCUGGCCUGUUCUUGACGCUGAGGCGCGAAAGCUAGGGGAGCAAACGGG
rnacentral:rRNA from 1 species